rnacentral:lncRNA from 1 species
UUAUGAUAAAGCAUUCAGUUUCUAGAGUGUUUGAAUAUCUUUUGGAUUAUGAAAGUAACUGCAUAAUGAGUUUAUCACAAGAAGAGCGUGAUAAUGUACAAAUUAUUUGCAAAGUAGGAGGUGAUGGUCAAAGUGAUCAAUCGGAGUUUCAAAAUUCAGCAACUAUGAAAAGAGGUGUAGAUGAUCGCUCUGUGUAUAGUAUAGUGUUUGUACUGCUGGAGAUCCGAAGUGGAGAAAAAAUAAUAUGGAAAAAUUUAAUUCCAAAUAGUCCAGAUGCAACCCGUCAUCUUCUUUUUUGUUUUGCAAAAGAGACUGCUAGUUUUAUUCAGGAAAAAUUUGAACAUUUGAAAAAUGAAAUUUUUUUAUUGAAGAAUAUUGAAUUUAAACUUGGUGAAAGUACUUUUGUAGUAAAGUCUAGUUUGUCAACUAUUUAUACCACAAUGAAUGAUGGCAAAACACUAAACGCUGUUGUAUCAAAUAUGCUUAAAAAAAGAAUUUCAUCUCAGUCCUACCAUGUAUGCCUUGCAAAUUCUAAGGAGUUUAACUUGAAAACUAUUUGUAAAAAAAAUAUUAACUUAAACAAGCAUGUUUUGAAACUUGGAAUUUGCAGUCUUCAUCUAUGGAUUUAUUGAAAACAAAAAAAAAUUCCAGCAUUUAUUCAAGAUAAAACUGAAUAUAAGGGUUUCUUUUGUCAGAAAAGGAUGUGGAACAACCAAUACUGGAAAUGUUGCUCGCAAAUUUUUUAAUAACCCCAUUGUGACAGGGAGAAUUUUAAACUUGGAUAUCAGAAUGAUUAAGUUGUUUCGAGAUUUACUCAUUGAUAUAAACAGAACAACUACAAGACCGGAUAUAAAGGUUUUCAAACAGAAAUCUGAACAUCUAUUUGCACUCAUAACUAAUGAUAAAUUUUUAAAAACCAUACCUAUGUCACAAUCUGUGCAUAGAGUGAUAGUUCAUGGUACUUCUUUUAUAAGGUAUUUUAAGUAUCCGAUAGGUUCUUUGUCUGAGAGUGCUAUUGAAGCCAGAAAUAAGGAAAACAAAACUGCUCGAAUUGGUCAUGCUCGUUUAACCUCUUUUGCAGAAAACACUAGGGAUACAGCUAAUUAUUUGUUUAUGACAUCUGAUUUGUACCUCUUUUGCAAAAAAAAUAAAAUGGAUAAAAAAAGAGUGAAAACAAAAUAGUUUAAGAAAGCAAAGUGACAGUUCUUCUGAUAACUGCUUAAAAUAAAGGAAGUAAGACCAUGAAGAAUCAUACUGAUGAGCUGUUCUGCGUUGAAUUUUUAAAAAACGGCUAUUUUCAUAGCCACAA